GUCUGUAGGAGAAACCGUUAGAGAGAGGCGAUCUUUGGUGGAGAAAGUUUUUCAGGUUUAAAUUUGAUUUUGGUUACUGUUUUUCGCUUAUUAUGAUCGUACACACCAAUCAGUCUGAUCUUUGUUCCUGAAGAAGAAAUUACUUAUAGUUGAAGAUGAUAUUUGUAAUCAUCUUCCCUAUUCCUGAACAUGAAAUCCAACGACUCACUGAAAAUUGGUGAGAUAGAGAUGGUCAUUGUUGUUGAUGACGACGAUAGAGAAAAUGAAGGAGAUUUAAUAAUGGCAUCAGUUUAACAAAUCCUAAAGCUAUGGCGGUUAUUAUAAAGCAUGGAACUGGAAUUGUGUGUGUCAGCAUGCAAAGAGAAGACUUGGACAUAGGCCUGUCAAUAUUUGUCCGAUAUCCGGCCUACUUGGACAGGUUACAACUUCUUUUAAUGGUUCAUAAUAAGGAGAAAGAGGAGAAACUUCGUACAACAUUCACAAUAAUAGAGGUUAUCUGCUAAACUUACCUCUGCAAAUAUGGAUGUUAUCCAACUGGAGAUUGGCUUGGUAUUUUUUUCAGUCUGUGCGAUUAGGGUGGCAGUUUGGCUAUCAUGGAUUUUUUGGAUUUUUGCAGUGGUGUACAUUAUUGUACACACCAAUGUAAAUUAAAAAUUUUAAAAAAUGAAAAUUAUAUAGUCGU